rnacentral:lncRNA from 1 species
AUCCUCUCUUACUAUUUCUUUCUAACCAGGAAGGCAGAAUAUUUAGACUUCCACCAAAUUCCCAAGAAGCUGACCUUCGAAUCUGCACUGUCAUUGCUCAGGUCUUUUCCCACCCACCCAAAGGCCAUGCCAGAGGGUGGACUGGCUGUCACCGCAGUGCCCAGGAGGGUGAAUGACUGCUUCCCGUGUGCCAUGAUGCUGGCAACAACCAUGCCAGUCCUCCAGUCUCUCUAGCUGGGUGAUUAUCAGGAUGAUAAUGCAGAUAGCACUGCACUUGUGAUGGCUUUAUGAUUCAGUAAACAUUGAGCAGAACAGAAUCAGAGACAUUAAAGCUCAAGUUGGAGAAACAGUGGACAAAACCAGACCCAGCCCAAGAGUAUCGUAUUUGAAGAUCUAGCCAGGCACUGGCUGGGAACAUUGGGAUGAGGAAGAUGUAGUGCGAAUAAGAUCCUAAGCAGCCCAUGGAGAGAAUGAGAACAGAGGACUGGAAGGACGGACUUACCCUAUGGAAAGUUCCAGGAGAUUCAGUCUGCACUCAGGAGGAGGGAGCCUUCCGAGGGGGACCUGGUGGUGAAGACUGUCUGCAUGUAGACCCUAUGUGGAUGAGUUAGUCAAGGUCAACACACAGUCACCCAGGGACCCAGAGAGCCCCAAGAGCACCUUGGCAAGGUCAGUGAACUUCAUCUUAGUUCAUUUAUUUUUCAGGGGACAGUUUGCUGGACAAAUGAAAGAAAUGCAGAUUUUCUCAAAGAUUCCUAGGAGAAGUUGCCUAUUUCUUAGAAGAAGAGGUAGAGAUGAAAACCUCU